GAAAAAUAGAAUAGUAUAAUGGAUCAUGUAAACAUAAAUUUAACAAGUGUUAAAUAUUUAAUCAUUAUCAUUUCAAAGAAAUAUUUAUUAAGGGAAGUUUCAAGAACAAAGUAGAAAAAAAUAAUAAAAUGCAGCCCUGUGUACACACACACAUCAGCUUCAAUAAUUACCAACUCUUACCAAUCUUAUCUACAUUCCCACUAUUUCCUUUGUUAUCAGAUUAUUUUGAGGCCUAUUCUCAUGUCAUCAUUUUAUCUGUAAAUAUAAAAUAUAUCUCAAAAGAGAAAUCACUUAGAAAAAACUCACAAUACCAUCAUCAACAUCAUCACAUCUAAAAAUGGUUUCUUAACAUCAUAAAAUAUUCUGUCAGCAUUUACUUCGUACUUGCUUCCUAGAGGCAUUAUCUGUUUGAAUUCGAUUCAAAUAAUUGAAAUUACAUUUAUUGCAAACUUGGAAUGCCCCUUAAGAAUUUUUCUGUGUUUAAUCAUUUCUUUACUAUACAUAUUUUAUCAUUAUUUUUGUUGUUGUUGUUGCUAUUAUUAUUAUUAUUAUUAUUAUUAUUUUGGUACUGGUCAUUGAACUUAGGUUCAACCACCAAGCCAUAUCCUCCGACCUAUUUUGCAUUUUAGGAUCUCACUAUUUUGUAAUAGCAAAAAUGUGUUGCUUUCACACUUUUGCUAUUACAAUCAAUUCUGCUAUGAGUUGCUUAGUGCCUCGUCUUUGCCAGGGGCUGGCUUUGAAUUUGUAAUCCUCCUGCCUAAGCUUCUGGAGCUGCCAGGAUUACCCAGAGAGUACUACCACUUCUGGCUGAUUCAUUUAAAAUUGUAAUUUUCGUCAAACACCUGUAACAUGAACUUUGCCAUAUUAACCAUUUUAAGUGUACAUUUCUGUAAUAUUAAGUUCAUUUGCAUUGUUAUGCAAUCAUCAUCAACAUCCAUCUCAAGAGCUCUUUUCAACUUGCAAAAUUGAAACUGUACUCAUUAAACAGUAACUCCUCAUUUCCUACUUCCUCUUAACCCCUGGUACCCACCCUACCAGUCUGCUUUCUGUCUCUAUGAGACUACUUCUCAAUACUGUAUGUAAGUGGAAUCAUAUAAUAUUUGCCUUUUUGUGACUGCAUUAUUUUAUGUAGCAUUAAUAUCCUCAGAAUUCAUUUACGUUAUAGCAUAUGUUAGAAUUUCCUUCUUUUUUAAGAUUGAAUGAUACUUCAAUAUUUGUGAGACUUUUUAAUCUAUCCAUUAAGUUGCUUCCACAUUUUUGCUAUUCCAAUCAAUUCUGCUAUGAGCACAGGUGUACACAUAUGUCUUUGAGACUCUGCUUUCAAUUCUGAGGAGCAUUUAAUCAGAAGUGAAAUUGCUGGAUCAUAUGGUAAUUCUAUUUAAAAAUGUUUGAGGAGUCACUAUAAUGUUUGACAUAGUAACUGCAACAUUUUACAUUCCCACCAACAGUUCACAAGAGUUCAACUUCUUCACAUCCUGACUUACACUAUGUAUUUUGUUUUUGGACAGUGGCCAUCCUAAUGGGUGUGAGGCAGUAUCUCACUUGGUUGACUUUUGUUUAUACAAAUAAGAAUCUUUUUCUGUGCUUAUUGGCCAUUUGUAUAUCUUCUUUGGAAAAGUGUCUAUUUGAGUUCAUUUCAUUUUAUUCAUGUAUAUUUUUAAAUGCUGAGUGUUGCUUCAGUUUCUUAUAUACAUUGUGCAUAUUGACCCUUUACUAUAUAUAUGAUUUGCAAAUAUUUACUCCCAUUCUGUGAAUAAAACAAAAAUACAUAGACUCCAUAUUGACUCUAUUGGUUAUGCACUUUGAUACAUAGAAGUUUAAAAAAAUUAUUGGUGCAUAUAAUUAAACAUAUUAGAAGGAUUCAUUGUCACAUAUUACACAGUUGUACAAGGAAUUUUAAACUUUAAUGUGAUUCAAUUCAUCAAUUUUUCUUUUAUAAUAUGUGCUUUGAGUGUCUCUGUGGGAUAUUUUUAAUUUUUUAAAAAAUAAGAUCAUUAUAAUUAUACAUAGCAUUUG
rnacentral:lncRNA from 1 species